rnacentral:lncRNA from 1 species
GGUCGUCCCCAUACCCCGUCCGGUAUGGGCGCCAAAACCAUAAACCUCAAUACCCCGUCCGGUAUGAGGGUGAAACGGGCUGUCCCCAUACCCCGUCCGGUAUGGGCGCCAAAACACAUAAGGUCUCCAUACCCCGUCCGGUAUGAGAGACCACAAUCCCGGUAGGGUUCCUUACGGACCCGGUCCGUCCACCAUCUCCCAGAAUAUCUAGUCAGGCUGACCACAUUAUCCAAUUAUCAAUUUACGUAACCUUUUAUUC